rnacentral:rRNA from 1 species
UACGGGGGGGGCAAGCGUUGUUCGGAAUUACUGGGCGUAAAGGGCUCGUAGGCGGCCAAUUAAGUCCGACGUGAAAUCCCCAGGCUUAACCUGGGAACUGCGUCGGAUACUGGAUGGCUUGAAUCCGGGAGAGGGAUGCAGAAUUCCAGGUGUAGCGGUGAAAUGCGUAGAUAUCGGGAGGAACACCGGUGGUGUAGACGGCUUUCUGGACCGUAACUGACGCUGAGACACGAAAGCGUGGGUAGCAAACAGG